GACGAACGCUGGCGGCGUGCUUAACACAUGCCAGUCGAACGGAAAGGCCCUGCUUUUGUGGGGUGCUCGAGUGGCGAACGGGUGAGUAACACGUGAGUAACCUGCCCUUGACUUUGGGAUUACUUCAGGAAACUGGGGCUAAUACCGGAUAGGAGCUCCUGCUGCAUGGUGGGGGUUGGAAAGUUUCGGCGGUUGGGGAUGGACUCGCGGCUUAUCAGCUUGUUGGUGGGGUAGUGGCUGACCAAGGCUUUGACGGGUAGCCGGCCUGAGAGGGUGACCGGCCACAUUGGGACUGAGAUACGGCCCAGACUCCUACGGGAGGCAGCAGUGGGGAAUAUUGCACAAUGGGCGGAAGCCUGAUGCAGCAACGCCGCGUGCGGGAUGACGGCCUUCGGGUUGUAAACCGCUUUCGCCUGUGACGAAGCGUGAGUGACGGUAAUGGGUAAAGAAGCACCGGCUAACUACGUG
rnacentral:rRNA from 1 species